rfam:Colletotrichum sublineola strain TX430BB Scaffolds0315.1, whole genome shotgun sequence.
GGCCGGCUGGCGUAAUGGUAGCGCUUCAGACUUCUAUCUUCUCUUCCUAGGGAUAUAGCUAUCUGAAGGUUGCGGGUUCGAGCCCCGCGUUGGUCA